rnacentral:rRNA from 1 species
AGUGAACGCUGGCGGCGUGCCUAAUACAUGCAAGUCGAACGGAACUUAAAAGAGCUUGCUCUUUUAAAUUUAGUGGCGCACGGGUGAGUAAUAUAUAGCUAAUCUGCCCCUUGCUGGAGGACAACAGUUAGAAAUGACUGCUAAUACUCCAUACUCCUUUUUACCAUAAGAUAAAUCGGGAAAGAAUUUCGGCAAGGGAUGAGACUAUAUCGUAUCAGCUAGUCGGUGGGGUAACGGCCUACCGAGGCUAUGACGCGUAACUGGUCUGAGAGGAUGAUCAGUCACAUUGGAACUGAGACACGGUCCAAACUCCUACGGGAGGCAGCAGUAGGGAAUAUUGCGCAAUGGGGGAAACCCUGACGCAGCAACGCCGCGUGGAGGAUAACACUUUUCGGAGCGUAAACUCCUUUUGUUAGGGAAGAAUAAUGACGGUACCUAACGA